UGGGGAAUAUUGCACAAUGGGCGAAAGCCUGAUGCAGCGACGCCGCGUGAGGGAUGACGGCCUUCGGGUUGUAAACCUCUUUCAGCAGGGAAGAAGCGAAAGUGACGGUACCUGCAGAAGAAGCGCCGGCUAACUACGUGCCAGCAGCCGCGGUAAUACGUAGGGCGCAAGCGUUGUCCGGAAUUAUUGGGCGUAAAGAGCUCGUAGGCGAUUAGUCGCGUCUGCUGUGAAAACUCGAGGCUCAACCUCGGGCUUGCAGUGGGUACGGGCUGACUAGAGUGCGGUAGGGGGUGACUGGAAUUCCUGGUGUAGCGGUGGAAUGCGCAGAUAUCAGGAGGAACACCGAUGGCGAAGGCAGGUCACUGGGCCGCAACUGACGCUGAGGAGCGAAAGCAUGGGGAGCGAACAGGAUUAGAUAGCCCCUGGUAGUCCAUGCCGUAAAACGUUGGGCACUAGGUGU
rnacentral:rRNA from 1 species